GAUGAAGUACGCAGCGAAAUGCGAUAAGUAGUGUGAAUUGCAGAAUUCAGUGAAUCAUCGAAUCUUUGAACGCACAUUGCGCCCCUUGGUACUCCAUGGGGCAUGCCUGUUCGAGCGUCAUUUACACCCUCAAGCUCAGCUUGGUGUUGGGCGUCUGUCCCGCUUCGUGCGCGGACUCGCCUCAAAUGCAUUGGCAGCGGUCUUGCCAGCUUCUCGCGCAGCACAUUGCGCUUCUAGAGGCUUUGGCGGAUCGGCGUCCAUCAAGUACACCCACAGUUUGACCUCGGAUCAGGUAGGGAUACCCGCUGAACUUAAGCAUAUCAAUAAGCGGAGGA
rnacentral:misc_RNA from 1 species